UUGGCGGCAUGGCCAAGUGGUAAGGCAGGGGACUGCAAAUCCUUUACCCCCAGUUCAAAUCUGGGUGCCGC
rnacentral:tRNA from 2 species